rnacentral:rRNA from 1 species
UACAGUGUAGACUACCAGGGUAUCUAAUCCUGUUUGAUACCUACACUUUCGUCCCUCAACGUCAGUUUUUACUAAAGAAUCGACUUCACCGACGGUGUUCCUUCAUGUGUCUACGAUAGUUUACUUCUCAACAUGAAAUUCUAUUCUUCUGAUUUAAACUCAAGUAUAGUAGUAUUAAAUGAAUUUUCUAAAGUUGAGCUUUAGAAUUUAACAAAUAACUUACAAUACAAUCUACGGACCCUUUACGCCCAGUUAUUUCGGAUAACGCUUGCCCCUCCCGUAUUACCGCGGCUGCUGGCACGAGAUUAGCCGGGACUAAAACUUCUGUAAAUAAUGUCAUUAUCAUUUUUUACCGAAAGAAUUUUACAACCAAAUAGCCGUCAUCAUUCACAUAGUAUUGCUGGAUCAAACUUUCGUUCAUUGUCCAAUAUUCCUCACUGCUGGCUAAAUAUUAGCCUGGACCUUGUCUCAGUUCCAGUGUGGUUGAUCGUCCUCUCAGACCAACUAAAGAUCGUAGGCUUGGGUUCGCUGUUACCGACCCCAACUACCUAAUCUUGCGCAUACGCAUCUUUUAGCGGGUUACUUUUAAUUACCCUUUUGAUUAAAUAAUAUUAACAAUUUGUUGAUCCUAAUUUUCAAAAACGAUCAAUUUGUUUUAUCUUAGACUAAAAGGUAGCGUUAUACGCGGUUACUCACCCGUCCGCCACUAAAAAUUUAUUUUAGUAAGACUCGCAUGUGUAAAGCAUACUAUUAGCGUUCAUCCUGAGCCAGGAUCAAACUCU